rnacentral:rRNA from 1 species
UGCAAGUCGAACGGCAGCACGGGGGCAACCCUGGUGGCGAGUGGCGAACGGGUGAGUAAUAUAUCGGAACGUACCCGGAAAUGGGGGAUAACGUAGCGAAAGUUACGCUAAUACCGCAUAUGCCCUAAGGGGGAAAGCGGGGGAUUCGCAAGAACCUCGCGUUUUCGGAGCGGCCGAUGUCGGAUUAGCUAGUAGGUGAGGUAAAGGCUCACCUAGGCGACGAUCCGUAGCUGGUCUGAGAGGACGACCAGCCACACUGGAACUGAGACACGGUCCAGACUCCUACGGGAGGCAGCAGUGGGGAAUUUUGGACAAUGGGCGCAAGCCUGAUCCAGCCAUGCCGCGUGAGUGAAGAAGGCCUUCGGGUUGUAAAGCUCUUUCAGCCGGAAAGAAAACGCACGGGAUAAUACCCCGUGUGGAUGACGGUACCGGAAGAAGAAGCACCGGCUAACUACGUGCCAGCAGCCGCGGUAAUACGUAGGGUGCGAGCGUUAAUCGGAAUUACUGGGCGUAAGGCGUGCGCAGGCGGUUUUGUAAGACAGAUGUGAAAUCCCCGGGCUUAACCUGGGAACUGCAUUUGUAACUGCAAGGCUAGAGUACGGCAGAGGGGGGUAGAAUUCCACGUGUAGCAGUGAAAUGCGUAGAUAUGUGGAGGAAUACCGAUGGCGAAGGCAGCCCCCUGGGUCGAUACUGACGCUCAUGCACGAAAGCGUGGGGAGCAAACAGGAUUAGAUACCCUGGUAGUCCACGCCCUAAACGAUGUCAACUAGGUGUUGGGGGAGGAGACUUCCUUAGUACCGCAGCUAACGCGUGAAGUUGACCGCCUGGGGAGUACGGUCGCGAGAUUAAAACUCAAAGGAAUUGACGGGGACCCGCACAAGCGGUGGAUUAUGUGGAUUAAUUCGAUGCAACGCGAAAAAY